AUGGUCAUAUUCCUCGACAAGUAUCCCGAAGAAUCAGAGGUAGAUAGAGUAACUUGCGCAGAGACACCAGACAAGGAAAUUGACCCGGAAGGAUAUGCAGCUGUGGAAAACUACAUGAUGCACGGGCCAUGUGGUGUAGCCAACACAAAGUCACCAUGCAUGGUCGACAACAGAUGCAUAAGAAAGUUCCCAAAAAAAUACAACACCAAUACCACUAUUGAUGAAGAUGGAUACCCAGUAUAUAGAAGACGAGACGAUGGAAGAUACAUACAGAAAGGGGAAGUGAAGUUGGACAACAGAUAUGCAGUCCCAUACAAUAGAAAUCUGCUGGGAAUGAUGUGUGUUGGAGAAUAUUUCAGUUCAAAAUGCACUUCAAAGAUCCCUGUGUCGAAAGGUUGCCUUUUCACCUGGAAAAUGAGCAACAAGUAA
rnacentral:rRNA from 1 species